GUCCCAUACGUGCAGGCUUGCAAGUUGCCUCGACAACUUUUUUUUUUGGACGCAGCACGCUAUGCUCUUAAAAAACCAAAUAUGAAAACUACCCUUCAUUCGUACAUAAUAUGCCAAGAAUGUGGCAGAAACAAACUGGGUUUGGUGGAGCCCAGAUGGCGCGCCAAUAGUUCUCGAUCAGAUUAGCUGGACCUUGUGGAACACACAACAUACAAACAUAAAUUGGGUAGGUAUUAGAUUCCAGAGGCUGGUGAAUGUAUUGAAUUGGGAUCAAUUUGUAGUUGAUGGUUCUAAUUUAUCAGCAACCUGUCAUAAGCUUCAACCAGCUUCACGAGAACCAUCCGACCAC
rnacentral:lncRNA from 1 species